rnacentral:rRNA from 1 species
UACGUAGGGGGCAAGCGUUUGUCCGGAUUUAUUGGGCGUAAAGAGCGUGUAGGCGGCUGGGUAGGUCCGCUGUGAAAACUCGAGGCUCAACCUCGAGACGUCGGCGGAAACCAUCCAGCUAGAGUCCGGAAGAGGAGAGUGGAAUUCCUGGUGUAGCGGUGAAAUGCGUAGAUAUCGAGAGGAACACCUGCGGCGAAGGCGGGUUGCCUGGGCCGACACUGACGCUGAAGCGCGAAAGCUAGGGGAGCGAACGGG